rnacentral:rRNA from 1 species
CGGAGAUAUAUGGAGCUUGCUUUAUAUAACUUAGCAGCGAACGCCUGAGUAACACGUAGAUAAUCUAUCCUAUACUGGGGGAUAGCCCGAUGAAAGUUGGAUUAAUACCGCAUAUAGCUAUAUAGUUGCAUGAUUAUGUAGUGAAAGAUUUAUUGGUAUAGGAGGAGUCUGCGGCACAUUAGCUAGUAGGUGAGGUAAAGGCUUACCUAGGCGACGAUGUGUAGCCGGUCUGAGAGGAUGAACGGCCACAAUGGAACUGAGACACGGUCCAUACUCCUACGGGAGGCAGCAGUGGGGAAUAUUGCACAAUGGGGGAAACCCUGAUGCAGCAACGCCGCGUGAGUGAAGAAGGUUUUCGGAUUGUAAAGCUCUGUUAGCAGGGAAGAGGAAGGACGGUACCUGCAGAGGAAGCCACGGCUAACUACGUGCCAGCAGCCGCGGUAAUACGUAGGUGGCAAGCGUUGUUCGGAAUAACUGGGCGUAAAGGAUGCGUAGGCGGUUAAACAAGUUAUAUGUUAAAUAUAUAGGCUUAACCUGUAGAAAGCAUAUAAAACUGUUUAACUAGAGUGCAGGAGAGGCAAGUGGAAUUCCUAGUGUAGCGGUGAAAUGCGUAGAGAUUAGGAAGAACACCAGUGGCGAAGGCGACUUACUGGACUGUAACUGACGCUGAGGCAUGAGAGCAUGGGGAGCAAACAGGAUUAGAUACCCUGGUAGUCCAUGCUGUAAACGAUGGGUACUAGGUGUGGGUUGUGAAUAACAAUUCGUGCCGUCGCAAACGCAAUAAGUACCCCGCCUGAGGAGUACGAUCGCAAGAUUAAAAC